rnacentral:rRNA from 1 species
GACGAACGCUGGCGGCGUGCUUAACACAUGCGAGUCGAACGGAAAGGCCCUGCUUUUGUGGGGUGCUCGAGUGGCGAACGGGUGAGUAACACGUGAGUAACCUGCCCUUGACUUUGGGAUAACUUCAGGAAACUGGGGCUAAUACCGGAUAGGAGCUCCUGCUGCAUGGUGGGGGUUGGAAAGUUUCGGCGGUUGGGGAUGGACACGCGGCUUAUCAGCUUGUUGGUGGGGUAGUGGCUUACCAAGGCUUUGACGGGUAGCCGGCCUGAGAGGGUGACCGGCCACAUUGGGACUGAGAUACGGCCCAGACUCCUACGGGAGGCAGCAGUGGGGAAUAUUGCACAAUGGGCGGAAGCCUGAUGCAGCAACGCCGCGUGCGGGAUGACGGCCUUCGGGUUGUAAACCGCUUUCGCCUGUGACGAAGCGUGAGUGACGGUAAUGGGUAAAGAAGCACCGGCUAACUACGUG